GUGGUGUCUGUAAUUACAUCCAUACAUUAUAUAUAUGUGUAAAUACGCCAAACCUCAGGGGAGGUCCUUGAAAAUUACCCGUCUUGAUAUACAUACAUAUAAAAUAAUUGGAAAGCAACCAAAUAUUCUUUUCCAUCAUUCUUAAAAUAAUUUUAUAAUAAGACAAAAAAAUUGGAGAGCCACUACAUUAAUUCAAUAUAUCUUAAUUAAUUAAAUUCUUCUUUAAAAAAUAUAUUUUAAUUAAAUUUCAUCUCACAUAAUGUAUAAAUAUUUUUUUUCCCACUGAGUCUCACUGCUCAUUUUCUACAUGUUUAAUAUGUUUAAGGCUUUAAGCAUUCUUCUCUUCAAUGAGAAUGCGAAUCCACCAUCAGAUUUGAUUUUUUUUUUUUUUUUUUAAUUCUACCUCUCUUCAGAAGAUGCAAAUCCACCAUUAGAUUUGAUGUACUCUUUGAGUACUUAUUGCUCCUUACCUUAUUCUUGCAUAAUGAUAUCUCUUGGAGUAUGUUCGAUGAAUAUAUAUCCUAAUUAAAUUUUAUCUCACGUAAUCUAUAUCAUUUUAUUUCAUUUCCACUACUCUUUUUUUUUUUUAAAUGAUGGGAAACAAAUUUUUUAUUUUUAGUUUUGAAAAACAUAUUUUAUGAAAUGAUAUCAAAUACAUUUUUAUUCUAAAUAUAUCAUUUUUUUUAAAACAUCAUUUUUAUUGUCACAUAUUGUUUUUGAAAACACCAUUUUAAAAAUAAUACUUGUAACUUUUUUUAUUACUUGAUAAAAGUCUGCAUCACAUGUCACAUAGGAUUUUUAGAAAAAAAUUAUCUUUUAUUCACACCUUAUGAUAGGUGAUUACAUUAUACUUUAAAGUUGGUAUGGAUUCAUGAAUUUAUUUCCUAAGCAAUACUAACAGAAUACUUUAUUUUGAAAAAAAAAAAAGAAAUAUCAUAUAAUACUAACAUUGUUGAUUAACCUAGCCACUCUAUUUCCUAGCAAUAUUUCUUCAAAAAAUACAACACAACGGUCAGCUGUUUUAAGGUCUUGGUCAAAACAUACAAAAGUUGAUCCAUUACAACGAUCAUUUCACAGCUUGUCAUUUUACAUGCCUCAAGCACAGGAUCAGACAUCAAGAACUCAAAAACAAAUAACCAUUUGGUGGAGAAUUGCAGCUUGCAGUGCAAUUUUGCAAACAUCAUAAACUAUUUAAACCCCCCAAAAGCACUUGGAUUUCUACUCUAAAGAUGCAUGCUUGUGACACAGCACUGAAACUUUGAAAAGAACACCUUCUGUCCUGAUUAGUUCAAAGAGGCAUAUAUCUCCCGCUUUCAAAUCCUUGUCCUUUGAAAAUGCAGGCCAUCCCUUUCUUAUACCACACCAGCCCGACCAUGCGAGGUUAACAGGCCACACUCUUCCAUCUGUAUCUUUAAUUUUGAUGGAUUCGUUAACUUUGUUCAAGUACUUGUUAGCGAAUUUGGGAGGUACGUACUGCAAGAGGAAGGGCAAAAAGAUUAGCAACCAAGCAUUAACCAAACUGAGGACGUCACAUGAUCAAAUUUUAUUAAGAGCUCACCACAUAAUUGAGUACUGUCGUUGACCCCAUGAUACACAAGAACGAAGGAUUUUCAAGCCGAAACAAUCUGGAAGCACAAAUUAUUCUUUGUCUUUCUUCCACGGAAAGAAACUUAUAUGCUCCACUAAUACAGAUCCCCAUUUCUUCAAGCACAGCCACAAAUUUGUAUUCAUCUGCAAUCAUUGAAUAGGUAAAGCAAAAAAAUAAAUAGAUUUUUAUAAACAUUAUUUUACAACACAAGUAAUAUACAUAUACAUAUACAUGAAGAAUCUACCCCACCUUCGUAUGCAACCUUCCUCGGUUUAAUCUUUUUACCAUCAUUCUGCUUUUCAUUUUCCGGUUCUGCACAAGUAUACUCAAUCUCACAGGCAGUCUUGUCAAAAAUGAGAACAUCAAAAGUUGAAUUCUUUGCAUAUUCAAAAACCAAAAAGUAAUCCUUUAAUAUUGAAUGGUUUUUAACAAAGUCAUGCCACCCAUCAUUAAACCAGAUCUUUCUCCCUUCUCUUGUCAACCCCACUUUCCAAACACAGCCAUUAGGAACUCUGAGUGUAGCAACAUCACAAAGUUCAUCUCCAAAUUUCUUCACAAAAUCUACUGGAAUCCUCUGCAUUUAUAGAUUCCAAAAGUGAAAAAUCAACUAGAAGAAAUGUUUCCAUGAUGACGUUGCAAUCAUAGAUUUUAGUCGCUAUAAAUCAAUAGUUAUGAAUAAAAAAGAUGUAUACCCAAGAAAACAGUUUUGGUAAAGUCUUUUGAUAAACAAGACCACUACCAAUGAUUCAUUUGACUUGAAAGCAGACCAAGAGUUGGUAACAUGCGUGUUAUACAAUACAACAGACAAAGCAAAACUGAUUUUUUAUCAAAGAAUUGAGAUUGAAUCUGGAUAAAAACAUGCAAAACCACAGAGAUUUCAUCAAAGUUUUUAUAAAAACUCAUCAUGUGAAAAUGACAACUAUGAAACAAUCAACUGCUGUAUGAACUCCAGUAUAUAUGUAUAUAGGAGAAUAUUUUUCAUUCUCAACAAUCAAGGGAGAAAUUUUUCAAAAAGUCUAAGAAUCAAAAUUCAGAUUGCAAAAACAGUUCACUAAUAAGUGGUUUGUAGCCCUCAGGUUGCUUAACCGAGUGGUUUUGAAGUAUUUUUAUUUAGUUGGCCACUUAAGUUUGAGUCCUCCAAGAAAUACGGGAUUAAAAAAUUUGAAUUGAGCUUUACACAUUCUCCUGCCUUUCCUUUGGAUCCCAAAAUGUCACAUGAGAUUUACAAACUGAACCCAUUUUGCUAAGAAAAGAACGCACCAAAAGCUAACAGCUUAUUUUUAUUUUCAGUUUGUUUGCUAAAAAUUAACUCUAGGCCAUCAAAAUAUUAACCAAAAACCAAAUAAACAUAACAUGAUAAAGAUAAUGAGGUAUGAUAUUAAAAAAAAUAUAUAAUAAAAUUUCAUGGAAAAUAAAUUGUUUACUGAUACUAAAGAUGAUUAAACAUGUAAAAUAGUUUAUCUAUUUACUAAUUUAUACAACACAGCAAACUUGCUACCCCUUCAUAAAAUCAAAUAAGCAUCGAAAUUAAAAAAGAAAGACUGAAAUAACAAAAGACUCCCCACAGUAAUAAAUUCCUAAAAUGACCUCUCCUACAUAUCACAUGCAUCAUAUUUCAUGGUUUGUUUGUUGGUAUAAACCAGCAAUAAUGUCAGCAUAUAAAGAAGAAGAGUUGUGUGAAUUACCAGCUUUUUGUCUUGAAGGGUUUCCUCAAUAAUUUUGAAGAAACGGAAGGGCUCUGCUGUUAUGCUUUCAGCCAUUUCUCUGUAAUAUCAUUUGGUUUUUGCCUGACUAACUUGAGACUUGCUUUGACAUCUUUAACCCAUUUUCUUUUGUGACGUUCGGUUUCUUUACUUUUUUUGUUUACUUCAAUCGAGGAAGCUAUCAAAGCAUAUCACCGAUACAAUUUUGAGUUCUUGCCAUGUAUUUAUUGCUUUUUGACAUAUAAAUUUAUUUUAGGCAGUUGAACUGGCCGACUAUUUAAGGUCUCGCGGCCAUAAAUUUUUCCACGCCAUCCCUUGAACCCUCUGUGCUUUAUUAAGAUAAAGAAAGAAAUCAAGUGCUUGUCGACAAAUUUGUUGGCAUGUUGGCAUUGUGAAAUCCUUUAUUUUCGUUUCGGUUAUUAGGAAUUUGUAGUGUUUGUAAUUGUGUAAUUAUAUUUUGUUACUAUGUACUUAAGAUUUGAGUCUCAAGUUUUUAUCCUAUAUAUUGUAUUUAAAUGUCUUAUAUCUCCGCCCUAUAACAAUGUAUUGUUGACCAAUUUACAGUUGAACAUAAAUUAUAGAGCCUUUGCAUGGCAAAAUUACGCAACUUCUAUAAUUUUAAUAUGACAGAUACCGUCUAGCGGUUCAGUGUGUGCCGGAUCAAGAAUAAUUUUUUUCUACCGCAAAGACUAGUGUAUUUCCCUUAUAUGCAAAUGCUUUGCGUAGUUGACUUUUCCCACAUUAGUUAGAAACUGGUAUCUGUCAUAUAUUAUAUCUCCUUAUUUCUGAUUCUUGCUCCGAAAAUGCAGCCUACCCUCCUUUUAUGCUAAACCCUUAGGACCAUGUAAGUUGGACAGGCCAUCUUUAUUUGGUACCUCUAACCAAGUAGCUGUGAGAAAAUUUGGCUGGCACACACUGGACAAGCAAAAAUAUUAGCAAGUAAAAUUUUUUCAAACGGUAACGUGUGAAAUUGUACGAUAACAAGCUACUAAGUACUAAGAACUCGCCAUAUAAACAUCCAUGAAUGAAGGAUUUUGAGGGUUGAACAAUCAGAAAACGUAGACUAAACUCUGCCGUUCUUCAACCGAAAGAUAUCUAUGUGCUUUACUAAUAAAGAUUCCCCUUUCUUUAAGCGACGCCAACAACUGCAAUUCAGUGAAUAAGUGGAUACAUAAGCAUACAAUGAAUAAGAGAGAGAUUUUGUGAAAAUUGUACAAUGUAAAGAAUACAUAAGCGUAAAGAGCUCACCAAAUUUAGCACUUUCACUCACUUCAUCACCAUCUGAAGAAUGUGUCCCAACUUCAUAUUCAGAAUUCUUGAGUUUACUCUCAUUCUUCCUCUCAUGCAUAGCGGCCUCAAUUCAGUACUGUCAAUCUUCUUGUUUUCAGGUCCAUAACCGAGCUUAACCUGAUUUUGCUUUACUGGAGGAGUAUUCAUUUUGAGUGUAAGAGCAUCAACAUUUUGCUCAUUAUUUGAUAAUUUAAAACAAUAUAAACCCUGCAACUAAACUAACAAAUACUUGAUUAACUAACAUUUUACGGAGCUUGAAACAAAAACAAAAAAAACCAUAUAAAUCUCCCAAGAUGCUGUUUAUUCUGUCUUUUAACCAAUAACCUGCAAAAGAAAGGAAUAAAUUAAGUAAAACAUACCAGUUUGUUCUCUUCAAGCGUGGAUGGAAGAAUGAUCAUGAAGAAAUGUGAGCAAGUCUGUCCCAAAGAAUUUGAUAUCAUAGAUUCUGCUCAACCACUGGAAUCCAGUUCCUCAAUUUUUUUUCAUAGCUCAGAAACUAUUUCUGCUUGAUCUUGUGAGCUGUGAUUUGCCUGCAACUUAAUAUACUGUCUUGACUCUUGUGUAAUCUAAGGGACCGGUGCUACUCAUAUAUCCAUGUUGUAGCUUUUAUAAUCAUAAUAAUACCAUUUAAAAGGAUCUUCGAAUGCUCCAUAUAUUAUUUGAUGAACCAAUGAAUGAGCAGGUUUUUUUGCUGGCAUUGACUCCAACUACUCUGCAUUGAAAUUUCGGGCCCAUCAGCUGCUGGUAGGAGCCAAAUCAAGACUACUUUCAUUUUUUGGACCAGCUUUAUACCACAAAAUAACCCUCAAAUGUUGAAAAGAAAAUGGCCAUGCAAGUUCAUUCUUACUCAUCCUGGGCUUCACCAUAAUAACAUAAUUAACUAAUAUGCAAUCUGCAUAGUUAACUCCAAAGAGAUUAAUAUAAUAUGGACAUAUGUUUCGAGGUCUUGGCCAAAAACACAAAAAUUUGGCCCAAUAACGUAAAAAUUGUGUAUGGUAUAUGUAAUAUAUUUUAUUUGAAAUAUUUAUUUUUUGCUUAAUAUUAACAUAUGCAUAGAGAGGUUAUUAUAAAAUUGAAAAUUGAAAGACCAUUAGCUAAGUUAAAAUAAAAUUAAAAGUAGUUCAUUUGUCACGGAUUGCACUUUUAAAAAAAUAAAAAAAUUUACACUUUGCAAAAAAAAGGGAAAAAACCACACCUUCAACAUUCUUUUUUAUUUUUCUUUAAUAAAAAUAACUAUUUCAAAAUUUCAUUUUAAACAUGAAGAGCCAUCUAUUUUUCAACGACUUUACAUCCAAUAUUUAAAAUUUUAAUUUACAAGUAUGCCGAAGAUGAUUGGUCAUUUGCCGUUUUGUAGUCAAAUGAUGUGACAUUCGGUCUAAUUACAACAAAACGACAUGAUAUCCAUGUCAACUUCACAAAUGAUAAAGCAUAAAUAGUAUAUGCCGAAGCGUAUUGUUUAUGAUUCAUCGUUUGAAUUAUAAGAAAAAUAACACGUCAUUUAGAUGAUAAGUGCGGACAUGAUGUGAUAGACAAUUAGUUUUCUUGAAAAUGACACGUCAUCCUACAAGUUAAAUUCUACACGAUUUCAAUGAAUGUAAGAGGCCGUUUAUUUUUUAACAACAAAUAAAAUAAUAAAAUAUUUGAGUUAUUCAUGUAUUUUUGCAUGUUUAAUGGUUUGCUUUCUAACAAUAAAUAAACUAAGAAAAUAUUUGAAUUAUUCGUAUAUUUUUUCAUGUUUGUUUUCUUGAAAAUAAGUUAUUUGCAUAUUUCGGUAAAAGUAAUGAAAAGACUUUAGUUUCGAAUUCAUAUGUAACUACGAAUAUAUAAUCACUUUGCCUCUCAUUGGGCUCAAUCUAAAUUUGGGCCAAUAGUGCAAAAAUUGUACAUGUUAUAUGUAAUAUGUUUUAUUUGAAAAUUUUAAAUUUUUUUCAUAAUAUUAAUAUAUGCAGAUGGAGAGAUUACGUAUAAAUUGAAACUUGAAAGAUCAUUAGCUAAAUCAAAAUAAAAUCAAAGAUAACUUGAAUUGCACUUAAAAAAAAGAAAUUACUUUGGAAAAAUUGAAAAGAAAAAAACCACACCAUGGAGAUUGCUUUUCUAUUUUUCUUUAAUGAAAAAUGAUUAUUUUAAAUUUUAACUUAAGACAUGACGAGUUAUCUAUUUUUUAAAGAUAUGACAUCCAAUAUUUUAAAUUUUAAUUUACAAGCAUGCUGAAAACUACUGAUCGUUUGUCAUUAUAUUCACAAACGAUGUGGGACAUUUUGAUGAAUUACUUAAAACGACAUGCCAUUCAUUUCGCUUUUACAAACGACAAUUCGAAAAGUCAAUGUGUCCGUGCAUACUCGUUACCAUGUGAUUUUUGUAUUCUAGAGAAAAUAACACAUCAUUUUCGGUAUUAGCAUAGAGACGACAUGCCAUACCAUUAGUUUGCUUGACAAUAAGACGUUAUCUAGCGAGUUGAAUUCCACAUGAUUUCAGCGAAUGCAAGAGAUUGUUUGUUUUUUAACAAUUAAAUAAAUUAAUAAAAUAUUUCAGCUAUUCACAUAUUUUUUUCAUAUUUGUUUUCUCCAAGACUUAAAAUAAGUUAUUUGUAUAAAGUAAGAGAAAGACUUUAUGUAUAUAUACAUAUUCCAAUAAGUUUGUAAGGGCCAAUAGAAGGUUUUAGAGUCAUAAGAUGAAAUUAUUGGGCUAGAGUUGACCUCAGCAACUAUGUAAGCCCUAUGCUUCUUUCCCACUAGUUGCCCUAAUAUAAGAAAAUGAUCUCUUGGCUACACAACGGCUCAUUGUAAAUUUGGUCCAGUAGUGUAAAAAUUAUACAUAUUAUGUAAUAUGUUUUAUUUGAAAUGUUUAUUUAUUUUUUCAUAAUAUUAAUAUAUGUUGAUAGAGAGACCAUGAAUAAAUAAAAAAUUGAAAGUCCAUUAGCUAAGCUAAAAUAAAAUAAAAGGAAGCUCAUUUAUCUUGAAUUGCACUAUCAAAAAAAUAAAAUUAUAAAAAUUUGUACUUUGCAAAAAAUUCAAAAGCAAAAAACCACACCGUCCAGAACUCCAGAUUGCUUUUCUAUUUUUUAAUAAAAAUGAUUUUUUUAAUUUUUUUUUAGACAUGACAAGUCGUCUAUUUUUUAAUGAGAUUACAUCUAAUAUUUUAAAUUUUAAUUUGCAAGCAUACUAAAGAUGAUUGGUUGUUUACAGUACUAUUAUCAAACGGUGUGACGUUCAGUCGAAAUACUUUGCAGGGACAAGACAUCCGCAACACUUUACCAACACCAAUGCGUAAAUAGUAUGUGCCGAGGCAUAUUAUAUACUUGUAGUUGUUCAUUUUAAAUUUAGCCCAAUAACGUAGAAUCAUAUAUGUUAUACAUAAACAUUUUAUUUGAAAUAUUUAUUUUUUUCAUAGUAUUAAUAUAUAUGGAUAGAGAGAUCAUUUAUAAACUUGAAAAUUGAAAGACCAUUAGCUAAACCAAAAUAAAAUCAAAGAAUUUUUGUUCAUCCUAAAAUGCACUUAAAAAAAGAAAAAGAAAAGAACUUGUACAUGGUAAGAAAUUGAAAAAAAAAACACCAUUAGCUUUGCUUUUCUAUUUUUUAUUUUUCUAAAAAACAACUAUUCUAAAAUUUCAUUUUUGACACAACAAGUUGUCUAUUUUUCAAUGCCAGUAUAUCCAAUUGACACGUCAUUUGUAAUUUUAUUACCAAACGACAUGUUUUUUCUGUAGCGUACAUGAAAAUGACAUACCACCACAACUAUUUUUAUAACCAAUAAAGCAAAAAUAGUAUGCAUCGACGCAUAAAAUUUAUGAUCACUCAUUUGAAUUUUGGGUGCAAGUAACAUAUCAUUUGCGUGAUCACCGCAAAGACGACACGACAUCCGCAUGUUUUACUACAUAAUAACACAUCGUUUAUUAUGUUGAAUCCCGCAUGAUUUUAAUAAAAACAAGAAAUCUUUUAUUUUUUUAACAAUUAAAUAGAAUAAUAAACUAUUUUAAUUAUUCAAUAUUUUUAUACGUUCGAUUUCUCCAAUACUGAAAGUAAGUUAUUUGUAAAUUUGUAUAAAACUAAGAUAAAAACUUUAAUUUGAAAAUUAUGCUUAAGCACAAAUAUAUACACAUAUAUAGAUAUAAUUGGGGCUUCAUGAUCUCUAAGAUUUACUCUGAUGAUGCAUGUAUUGAAACUUUCAGAAGAAUGUCCUUCGCCUUUAUCAGCUCGAAGACACACACAUGUCCUUGUUUUAGAUUCUUGUACUUCGAAAAUGCAGGCCAUCCCCCUUUUAUGCCGCAGCCGCUGGACCAUGUAAGUUGGGCAGGCCACUCUUUUCCAUCAGAAUCUUGCAAUUUGAUAGAUCUGGUACCUCUAAUCAAGUGCUUCUUGGAAAAUUUGGAUGGCACAUACUGCACAAGCAAAGAGAUGGGCAACUCAACAUUUAUCAACGGGUAAUGUGAGAAAUUCCAAGAUCACGCUUUUACUGAGAGCUCACCAUGUAGCUAUAUCUUUUCUUGGACCUUAGAAUAUCCACGAAUGAAGGAUUUUGAGGCUUGAAUAAUCUGACAGCAGUAACUAAACUCUGUCUUUCUUCAACUGAUAGAUACCUAUGGCCUUCACUCAUGAAGAUCCCCAUUUCUUCUAAGGAAGCCAACAGCUCAUGUUCAUCUGCAACUCAUUGACUAAUAAGAUAGAUUUUGCAAAAAUUGUACAAUAAAAAGAACACAUAAGCAUAAAGAGCUCACCAAAGACUUGAUCACCAUCUGAAGAAUCUGUCUCAACUUCAUGAUAUGCAGCCUUUUUGAGUUUACCAUGCUCGUUACCAUGCGUUGGACACCGCUUUUUCUCCCUGCUAUUUGUAGCUGUUUCCAAUUUGAUACCACCAAUCUUCUUUUUUUCAGGUUUGGAACCGGGCUUAACCUGAUUUUGCUGCACUGGAGGAGUAUUCAUUUUGGUGAAACUUAGAAUCUCAACUGAAUUUUCAGUUUCCAUUUCAUCUCCCUCUUCGCUUUCCGUUUCUUCAUAAUCAUAUGGAUAAUCAAUCUCGCAUGCAGUCAUAUCAAAAACAAGAACAUCAAAGGUUGAAUUUUUUGCGUACUUAAAAACCAAAAAGUAUCCAACAGCAAUGGAAUGAUAUUCGGCAAAAUUAUCCCAACCAUCUUGUAACCAAAUUUUCCUUCCAUCUUUCCUCAAUCCCACUUGCCAAACACGACCGUUUGGAACAUUGAGAGUAGCAACAGCAGAGAGUUCAUCCCCAAAUCUCUUCACAAACUUUCUCGGAAUCCUCUACAAACAUUGAAGUCACAGAUAUAGCAGAGAUCAAAGUUACAAAACAAGAAAAUACGUCUUAAUACCAAAACAAAAUGACUAUUUUGAUAAUUUGAUGUGAUCUUUUGAUAUGCAGCAUCAAACAUUUACACUGAAUAAAAAGAUAAACAUCUCUCAACGAAAACUAGAGUAGCUCAUCUUUAAUAUAAACAUGAUACAGUGAUACCCAGUAAAGAGAAAGAAACUUGUUCAGCAGAUUAAAAUUUGAAAGUAGCCUUUUACUAGAUCAUAGUAUGAAGCAGCAGAAUAUCUGCUGUACCGUNNNNNNNNNNNNNNNNNNNNNNNNNNNNNNNNNNNNNNNNNNNNNNNNNNNNNNNNNNNNNNNNNNNNNNNNNNNNNNNNNNNNNNNNNNNNNNNNNNNNNNNNNNNNNNNNNNNNNNNNNNNNNNNNNNNNNNNNNNNNNNNNNNNNNNNNNNNNNNNNNNNNNNNNNNNNNNNNNNNNNNNNNNNNNNNNNNNNNNNNNNNNNNNNNNNNNNNNNNNNNNNNNNNNNNNNNNNNNNNNNNNNNNNNNNNNNNNNNNNNCGAUAUAUAUAUAUAUAUAUAUAUAUAUAUAUAUAUAUAUAUAUAUAUAUAUAUAUAUAUAUAUAUAUAUAUAUAUAUAUAUAUAUAUAUAUAUAUAUAUAUAUAUAUAUAUAUAUAUAUAUAUAUAUAUAUAUAUAUAUAUAUAUAUAUAUAUAUAUAUAUAUAUAUAUAUAUAUAUAUAUAUAUAUAUAUAUAUAUAUAUAUAUAUAUAUAUAUAUAUAUAUAUAUAUAUAUAUAUAUAUAUAUAUAUAUAUAUAUAUAUAUAUAUAUAUAUAUAUAUAUAUAUAUAUAUAUAUAUCGGCAACAGUACUAUAAAUAUCAAACUGAACAAAUUAGCCAACAAAGAGGAGCACAAUAAGGAAUAAGAAGAAGAGUGAGUUACGAGCUUCUUCUCUUGUAGUGUUGACGGAAGAAUGACCUUGAAGAAAUGAGAGGUUUCAGCUCUCCUGUUACCUCCAGCCAUUUGUUUCACGUUGUUGUUGGCAACAAUGGUGUAGAGACCUUUUUGGAUAAGAAACUUUUGCUUGAUUGUUGAUGCACCCUUCAAUUUCCACCUGUUAUUGGGAUCUGUAAAGACUAGUGGCGUGUCAGGUACUUGCAACUGUUACAUGAAAUAAAUGGUCAUCAUAUAGUAUGUUUAAAAUGGAAAAGGGAUGAUAUCAUCAAUCUUAUACAUUUUGAAGCUCAAAACCAAGUGUCGUUUGGAGUCAAUUCUAGUCGAAGAAGAAAUUCAUCUGUGUAUUUAAAUUGAUAUUGUGGAGGUUCAAAUGUGAUUCCAAUAUCCAAUUUAACUCUGCAUGUAUGCAGUCAACUAAAUUUGUGAACGACUUUAUGGAUAUGGGAUCUGCUUCAUUCAUAUGAUUUAUUUUUACCAGGUUCAUUGAAUAUCUUUAUUAACCUUCUCAACAUUCGGAAAUUAUCCAAUUGCUGAUGCAUAUCUUCGGGCAUGGGGUACCAGAAAACACAGGACAAGUAAACUCAUGCCAUAUAUAACAAAUGUAUACACGACAUGAUUUUAAUGACACAGAUGCACUGAUAAAUUCUCCGCUCUGUAAGAGACUCAGUUUGCUUUCACAUUUUUAAACCAACAGUGCAGUCAACAUGUAAAUAGAAAUCCAACACCUAUUAAACUCAAGAAAAUGCAUCAGAAAAUAUGGCAGUCCAUAAGCAAACAGCAAUAUCUACAUUCAUCUCUAAUUUCUUAACUCUGUUUUGCAUAACCACCAAGUGUUUUAUUGUACUUUCUCUCUUCGCCAAAAGUCUUACAUUGGCAGUUAAUACACAGGUCUUGCAUCUUCAAGAACUCGAAAUAUGGUAGCUUUCAAUGUGACAUCAUUUGACUUAAUCAGCUCGAACACACAAACAUCGCUUUCGUCUAAGUUAUUCUCCCACACAAAUUCAGGCCAGCCCUUGCUGAAUUUAGCUCCACCAUUCUUAAAAAUACAUCGAACAGGCCACUGCUUCCCAUUAGAAUCUAUAAUUGUGAUGUAUCCCUUGAUGCCAUUUAGAUACUUUCGGGCAAAGCUGGUAGGAACAUGCUGCAAAAACAAAAAUAAAUAAAUAAACAAAUUGCCCAGUUCUAUAAUAAUGGAUUCAAGAAAUUUUAUUUGCAGCAUAGUUCAAAGGACUUACCAAAAGCAAUGUCCUAUAUACAUAGGAUGGUCGCAAGAUAACCCUGAAUAAAGGAUUAUUCGACUUGUACAUUUCAGCUGCAUGGACGGUUCUCUUCUUUUCUUCAGUCGUUACAGCUCUCCACCUCCUCGUAUAAGUUUUGAAAGAAACUCUAUAGGAAGGAAACUCUGCUUCCUGUUCAAUUUUGCCUAAUGGUUCAUAUACACAUUCAAAAUUAGUGAUGAGAUUAGCCAAUAGUAAUACACAAAAUUGCUUCUAAAUGCAUAAAGCAUACAAUAAUUGGUUAUUUGUCCUGGCCCCGAGAUUUUUCUUUUUGUGCCACAAUUGAAAUACAGUCCAACUUCAUCUGAUGUAUUUUUGAACUGUAUUCCUUUAUCUUGAGGACAAUGAAAUGCUGUUUCCUGAUUAUGUUCAUCCUUUGGUAUAUGCAGGUACUCUAUUUUAACUCCAGAUGUAGAGUCCUUAUUGCACUUGUAGCAUACACCUUCAUCUAAGACCUUGGUUGCUGGAGAAAAAGGAUCCGGGCAUGGAGCACGCAAAGGUGGCAAUAUUCUGAGAGAGCUAUUUUUUUCUUUAUCUUUCUCAAUGGGUACAUGGCAUUGCUUGCUAUCACUGGGUUCUUCCAAGCUUGGAUACUCUAUCUCAGAAAUUGCUAAAUCAAAUAUGUAGACAUUGAAAUUUGAAUUCCCUUGGUAUUUGAAGAUCAAAAAGUACCCAGAAUGAAUGGAGCAAUGCUCUAUGAAUUCAUGCCAACCAAUAUCAAACCACAACUGCUUGUUGCAUUUUUUUAGUUCCACAAACCACAUACGACCACUGGGAAUUGUGAAUUUCGCAAUUGAAGAAAGUUCAUCUCCAAAUUUCUGAACAAACUUGUCUGGGAUCCUCUGCGGGUGCAAAAAUUUAUCAGAUUCUGCAACAGUACCACCAAUGAAAUGUCUACAACAAAAUAUAUAUUGAGCAUUGCACAAAUGAUUCAUCAUGAACAUUAGUCAGCUUCAUUGAAGUAGCAGCAGCAUGAGAUUAACAAAGACGACAUAACUUCAUAAUUGAAAAGGCAAUUGAAAAUGAAAAGAUAACAUUUAAUGAAGAGCAGCAUGUAACCAAAAGUAAAAUAUAUCCUUAAAUGGCUAGCAUAACAAUGGAUAGUCAACAGAAAUAAAAGACUCCUCCCCCCCUCCCCACCAACAGAUGAUAAAUGCAAAAAUACUUGAUAUGAAAUUAAAAGAAGACAAAAAUUAACACUCAACGAAGAGCAUCAAGUGUGUAUAGCAUAUUAAGAGAACAAUGGCUUCUAAUGAUGACCACAGUAUUUAAAUGUUUGAUAAACACCGACUUUUACUUGAGAGCUAAUCUUUACCCUUGCUCUCCCACAAUUCCACUUAUACUUGAAAUUUAGUGGUUACUGCCCCCGUCUCACUAGUGCAGCUGUGACUUCAAAGCCACAGCACCUCAAUCCCAAAGAGACCCUAAGCAUAGCUCAGUCUCUGAAAAUGAAAAUAGCAGGAACCACCGUUCUUUCAAUUAACCAAGUCAUGGUCUUAAAAAACUUUUCUGGGACUAUGAUGAACAGGCACUACCGACAAUUCUGGUAAAAGCAAGCGCACAUUUUAAUCUUCUCAAUUUUCCCAGAUCAUUAAAGAUAACAAGAAAAGAAUCAUCAAGAAAUUUGAGACAAUCAAAUUUCCCACCAGCCAAACCAACAAACCGGACAAGCCGUUAACGCAUUUUAUAACUUCUUCCUCAAUUUUCACACCAAACAGACAGAAAGUCAAAGGGAAAGUAAAAUAGAAGAAAGUGAAAUAAAUUAACAGUUACCAGCUUCUUGUCUUGGAGAAUGGAGGGCACAAUUAGCUUGUAGAAAAUGCAAGACCUCUUCCCUUCCUCUUGCAAAUAUGGCGCCAGUGGCCGUGACAUUGCUUCAUCAACGGUUGUUUGCUGUUCAGACAUUUUUCAUCAUCAUCAUCAUCAAGAAUUGACUUUCCGAUGAUCACUAUACACUAUUUUUACCUUAGUGCUUGCUACCCAACAAGAAUGUUGGGAAAUGGGGAAGUACAACUGUACAACUGAAACGUGUAGUCAAAAACUCAAAAUCCCAUUAUUAUUAUUAUUUUUAAUUUCUUUUCAGCAUAAAAAAAUCUACUAAAAAAAUAAAAAUAAAACCAAUGAAAAUGAUCCUUUGACUAGAAGUACCUGGGACCUGUCUAUGGUACAGGUUCUGUAACAAACAUCUCCCGUCAUCCCACCAUCCGAUUUUCUAUUGUUUAGUUUCUCACUCCACAUCCAACCACAUCCAACGGCUGAUGCUGCAGUCUGUAGCUUACAGAUUCUGUAAGCUAGUCAAGUCCCACUGAAAAUAUCGUAAUGCUAAGAAGCAUAAAACAUGUUUCCCAAUUCUCUCAUUCCACGUGGAUUUUGAGUUCAGCUAGAGGUCCAUAUGUCGACUAAGGUGGCGUUUGUUUUUUUGUCUGAAAUCUGAAUAGACCUGAAUUAAUCUGAAUUUUGAAUAGAUCUGAAUGUCUGAAUCUGAAUAAUAUGUUUAUUUUUUUUGUCUGAAUCUCAGAAAAUAAGUAUUAAGUUGUUUUUUUUUUCAAUUUAAAAAGUUGAAAAUAUGUACUUUUACAUUUGUAUCCUUAUUAAAUUUUAAUGUCAAAUAAAUAAUAAAUUAAAUACCAUAAUAUUUUAACAUUUAUAAAUAAAAUUAUAUUCAAGUGAAUACAUAAUUAUUUUGAAAUUUUAAUAUAUAAAAUACCAUAAAUUUUAAAUUUUAUCGUAUAUAAUAUAAGAAAGAAAGAAUAGGGAUAUUUUUAUGUGUACAACAACACAAACACACACACAGUAAAACAUUAAUUGCAUGCACAUUUAAGUCUCUCAAAUUCCCCAGAUCAUUGGAGGUUGCAAUUUUUUUCUUUUCUGCUGUACCGUACAUCCGCCUUGGCCGUACAGCAGAUAUAUAUAUAUAUAAAUUGUUAUCCUCCCUCAUAUUUGUUGGAGUAUAUUUUUUUUAAUUUUCUUCUAAAUAUUUAAAAAGAUAUUCUAUACCUUUGCCAUUGAAAAAUAUCAUAAUCAAGCUCGUAUAAUUAGUAUUGAUGUAUUAGCAGUCAUUAUCACAUUAUUUUAUUGUUCAUUUCUAUAACGACAAUAAAUAAAUAUUGUAUCUUAAUUGAUUUAAGAGAAAUAAAAUUUUGCAUCUAUAGUCACUUUUCUUUUUUCGAUUCUAUAACGUUUUGAGAGAAAUAUAUGAUUUAAAAUAUUUUUUAGAAAAUAAAUAUUUGGAAUGCUUGUUCGAGAAACAUUUAUAUAAGAUUUUGUUUUUUUAAAAAAGAUAAAUUUUAUUUUCUUUUAGACGUUUUAUAAAUUAAAAAAUUCGAAUGUGAUAUGUAUAAUUGUCAUCACCAAAGUAGAGUUCAGAAAUAAAAUCAACAAACGAAUUGCCACGUAUGUUAGCUUUCGACUUUCAAGCAUUUUUCCAGUUAACGACGACCUGUCGUUCAUUCAGCUGGUGACUGACAUUGCACUUUCUAGCUUUCUGUAAUGUAGAAACAUAAAAAUCAAAAGUUGGCAGGUCAUUUCAGGUUCAGGCAAGAGCAUGUAUGUAGUCCGAUGGUCACUGGAAUUUGCCCCACACCAAGCUAAACAAUAUGAUUCAUGCGUGUAUCAAAAACUCCCAGAAAUAGACUUUGAAUUUAAAUGAAAAACUGGUUAACUGCAAAUGAAGAUCAGGCCUUCUUAACUAAGCAUAACAAAAAGUAACAUAGAAAAACAACAAUAUUUACAUUGGUUUCUAGUGUUUUGCAUCCCUUCAUCAAAACAUUUGAUCGUAAAGUUUUCAUUGUACCAAAUGACUUACUUUGAAGUAUGGCACUCCUCUGGUCUUGGAUCUUGAAGAACUCGAAAUAUGGUAACUUUCAGUGUAACAUCAUCUGUCUUAAUCAGCUCAAAUACACAAACAUCGCUUUCAUCCAAGUUAUUCUCCCACACAAAUUCAGACCAGCCCUGGCCGAACUUAGCUUUACCUUUCUGAGAAAUGCAUCGAACACGCCACUGUUUGCCAUUGGGACCUGUAAGUGUCACAUCUCCCUGAAUACCGUUCAGAUAUGUUCUUGCAAAGAUGCUUGGAAUAUGCUGCACAAGCAAAAAAGAAUUGCAUAAACAGGAUUGGAAUAUUCGUAUUUAAGGCGUGGUUCAUAGGCUUACCAGGAGUAAUGACUUGUAUACGUACGAUGGGCGCAAGACAACCUUGAAGCAAGGAUUAUCGGACUUGAAUAUUUCUGCUGCACGCAGUGCACUCUUCUUUUCUUCAGAUGUCAGAGCUCGCCCCCUCCUCAUAUAAGUUUUGCAAGAAGUUCUUCCUUUAGGCAACUCUACUGGUUCCAAUUUGUGCUUGCCUAAUGGUUCAUGAAUGCACAUUCAAAAUUAGUCAUAAUAAAAGCCAAUAGGAAACGAACAAUAAAUACAGCAUCUAAGUACAUAGACCCUACAAGAGUCAGUUAUUUGUCCUGGCCCCGAGAUUUUUCUUUUUGUUCCACCACUGAAAUACAAUCCAACUUCAUCUAAUUUGUUUGUAACAUUGCUUUUGAACUGUAUUAUUCCUUUAUCUUGAGGAGAUUGAAAUGUUGCUUCCUGAUUAUGCACCUCCUCUGCUAGAUGCAGGUACUCUGAUUUAACCCCAGAGGUAGAGUUCUUGUGCUUUUUGCAGUAUGCACCUUCUUCUUCGACAUUGAUUGUUGAAGAAAAAAGAACUGGGCACGGAGAGCUCAAAGGCUGGGAUAUUCCGAAAGAGUUAUCUUCUUCUUUAUCUUUGUCGAUGGGUACAGGGCAUUUCUUGUUACCACUGGGUUCUUCUUCCAAGCUACUACAAGUGUUGCAUGGAUACUCUAUCUCGGAAUUUGCUAAAUCAUAUAUGUAGACAUUGAAAUCUGAAUUUCCUUGAUAUCUGAAGAUCAUAAAGUACCCAGCACGAAUGGAGCAAUGUUCUAUGAACUCAUGCCAACCAAUAUCAAACCACAACUUCUUGUUGAGUUUUCUUAGUUCUACAAGCCACAAACGACCACUGGGAAUAGUGAGUUUCGCUACUGUAGAAAGUUCAUCUCCAAAUUUCUUAACAAACUUAUUUGGGAUCCUCUGCAGCGAAAAAAUUAACUCAGAUUUGUAAUAAUAAUGAGAGCUGUGACAGAAUAAUAUGAAGCAUUGCACAUAUAACUUUUUGUGUAAAUACAUAACUAAGUAUACGCUUUAUACAAAAGCUAGCAUCCAGCAACAUGAGAUUACCCACGAUCAUACAAGCAUCUUAAUUCAGAGACUAAACGGAAAAAAAAAAAAAGAAAAAAAAAACAACAACACAAACACACACACAGUAAAACAUUAAUUGCAUGCACAUUUAAGUCUCUCAAAUUCCCCAGAUCAUUGGAGGUUGCAAUUUUUUUCUUUUCCCUUUAAUUUUGAAGUAACAAGUAAAAUAGUACGAAGAAAAUUUAUAAUCAACAAAUAAUACAAGUUCAAUGCAAUGUUCAGAGUGAGAAUUGAGGCAGUAAAACUCUGGGGUGUUUCUCUUCUUUUUUUUUUUUAAUUUUCCCAACAACCAAACAAGCCGUUACCCUGUUUGCAACUUGUUUAUCAAAUUUCUGGGCAAACAAACAGAAUGUCAAAGGGAAAGUAACAAAGAAGAAAGUGAAAGUAAACAGGUACCAGCUUCUUGUCAUGGAGAAUGGAGGGCACAAUUAGCUUGUAGAAAAUGCAAGACCUCUUCUGAUUCUCCUCCUCUGGUAAAUAUGGCGCCAAUGGCUGCGACAUUGCUUCACCAUGAGUUGUUUGCUGCUCAGACAUUUUUCACCACCACCAUCAUCAUCAUCAUCAAGAACUCAUUUUUCCGAUCAUCACUAUGCACUUUUAUCCUUGGAUUAGUGCUACUGCUACCCCACUAGAACGUUGAGAAAUGGGAAGUGCAAUUGAAACGUGUCAUCAUAAUCUUUUUCACUUUUAUGGCAGUAAUUUUUCUCUCUUGCUAAUAUACUAAUAUGGGAUUUUUUUUUCCUAAUUUUUUUGAUGAUGUGGGAUUAGAUCUUAUCUUUAGUGACUAAAGUUUUUAACGUACUCUACAAAUCUUCUACACUUGCAUGGUAUAUGAGGUGUUACUCAUUAAUAGAUAUUGCAAAAUUAGUAAUAUACUCCAUAGCUUUGUUGUCAUUACUUAUCACUGAAAUAAACUUGCAACCGACUAGUCAAGUCGUUCAUAAACAAACCCAACAAACGUCUUGCUGUAUGUUCAUAUUACCUUCUGAGUUUUGACUCGCAUUUUUCUCGUUAACAUUUAUGGGACGACGUAUCGUUCUUUUCUGGUCACUAAAACGAACUUGCAAACAUUUUGUAAUGUUACAACAACACAAGGUCCUCUUCCGCAAUGCCAUUUACAAUCACAAAGUAGAAUAACAAAAGAUAGCACAAUAUUUUCCAGCAAGAGCAUGCUGUCUGAUGCUUGCUCAACCUUCCCUUGCGGAAAGUUUAUCAGUAAACAUUGUGAUUUGACAUGUACCAAAGAAUCAUGGAACUAGAUUUUUUAUAUAAACGAAAAACACUUGCAUAUUGUAUUCACUGACUUUGAUAUCAAACUAGUAGCAAAUAAUUUGCCUACGAGGUAAUUCUUUCUUUGAUCUGAAGCAUAACAUCACACCACAUGAAAUGAGCAGUGGCAAAAAAUAAAAGGUUCAAACAAGCUCAAAAUGACAUUGUCACAAUGUCACUAAGACCAUUUGUUCCACUGCAGCAGCUGAACGUCAACUUCAUUGAACAAUCUAUAUACAACCCUAUUCCAGCCACAAAUCUUUGUAUAGGAACCCUAAACUAUUAAAUGUUCCACAGAAGUUUCACAAGUUGUACAGAAAUUUAUAGACAUUAAACCAGAUUGGUAAAGACCACCUGCACAAGAAAGAUUACGUCACAGGGUAUUAUGCCAACUAGGAACAUAGCAUCCAUCGAUGGAAUGGGGUCAAUCCAGUGAUUUUUCUAAUGUCGACUCAUAAAUCCUGCACUUUCCGAGACACGAAAUACGGUAACUUUCAGAACAAACUCCCUUGCCCUUAGCACCUCAAAGACACAAACAUCUCCUUCCCCCAAUCUAUUCUCCACUGUAAAUUCAUACCAGCCUUGACUGAACUUAGCUCUGCCUCCUCUGUAUAGACAUCGGACAGGCCACUGCUUACCAUCAGAAAGCUGUAGUUUGAUGAAUCCACAAACCCCAUUUAGAUGUUUUUCGGCAAAGCAGGAUGGCAAAUACUGCAAAAGCAAAAAGUAGAUGCAUCUUACAUCAAGCAUAUUAUCGCGUGAGACAGAAAAACAGUGUAGAGUAAUUGAAAUUCUACAGCUCACCAUUAUACAUCCCUUAUACAAGUAAGAUGGUCGCAGGACUACCCUGCAGAAAGGAUUAGAUGGUUCAAAUGCUUUGGCAGCAUUAAUUGCCCUUUCCCUUUCCUCAGCUGUCACAGUCCUUUUUCUUGCUGAAGCACUUUCAUAAAAUCUAAACUGCAUUUCUCCAUCAUGUACUUCUUGUGCGGACGACGCUUGAACAUCUGCAUUUUUAUAGAACUGUUUGAUUAGAAAUUUGAAUUCUUGAGACAUGACAGGAUUAAACAAGAAUGCGAGCCCAAAAAUCUUACUAGGAUCAAUCUUUCGCUUUCUCCCAGGUUUUUUAAGCUUUGGUGUUUCUCCAUCUUGUGAAUACAAUUUCACUGCAUUUAACAAAUCCUUAGACUCAUAAAUAUUGAACUGAACAUCUAUAUCUAGAGUAUAAUAAUUUCCGACCAGAGAAUUUAUCAGACCUUUUAAUCGCUGCAAGUUUGCUUCACCAGCACCAUUUAUGCUGUUGCUAAGUUUAGAGCUGUUAAGCAAAUUCUGAAAUGACGGAGGAUUGAAAGUCUUGUUGACUGUUGGUUGAUCUACAUGUUCAGAGUCAUCAUCUUCCAUUUCUGCAAAUAUAUGGUAUUGUUUGCUAUGAUUGGGUACUUCAAAAUUACUGAGGGCAUUAGGUUGAUAGUUUAUCUCAGAAGAAGGCAAAUUAAAAAUAUAAACAUUAAAGGCUGAAUUCCCUUCAUAUCUGAAGACCAAAAAAUACCCAAUACGGAUAAAGUAACGUUCCAUAAAUUCCUGCCACCCAUCAUAAAACCAUACUUUGUUGUCAAGUCUCCUUAAUCCCACACGUGAAACCAUACCAUUCGGAACAAUAAGUGUAGCAGCUGCAGAAAGGUCAUCCUUGAAAUUCCUAACAAAGUUUUCUGGAAUCCUCUGCAGGCACCCAAAUCAGGUUAGAGUGCAGUCUUGAGGAGAAUAAAAUUAGGAUUGUAGAUGAAGCUGCUACUCUUUCUGAUAAAAAUGUUGAUAUGCCAUAUCAAUGAAUUAUUUUUCAUGACAUAUCUGCCCAUCCUAUUCCCAAAAGUUAUUCAUGAACUAUUUUCAGGACAUAAUUUGCCAUGCAGAACUUUGACCAGAUGGAAAGGAUAAACACAGCAAAGAGAUUCACUGCAGCAAAAUCUAUGCUUGCUCUUUCUAGUUUUACAAAGAAACCUACUUCAAGGGUAAGGAUAAGAUGAAUACCGCCACUAAUCCAGGAAAAGUUUACAUCUCGAGUAACUUGAAAUUAUUUUCAAUUUACCCAAUGGAAAGGGAAAAUAUUACAAAGCUUCUAAUAUUAUAAUUGAAUGGCACCCCAAGUGGCUAUUGUAGGAUGUUAAAGCCAAAUGUAAAAUCAAAGACAUAAUUGCUCUGCAACUAACACAGUACCCUCUCGUUGCUCAGAGCAGUGAGAAACAGAACCUCUCACCAUUAACCAUGUUUCGUAGCCAAGAGACCACAAAAACAAGAGAGAAGGGUCCAUCAAUUUAUCCAUAAAGAUUUAAAGUUGAUUUAUCUAUCAAUGGAUUCUCUAAGAUGAAGCACAGGUUUAUAAUCUACCUUCAACUAGUUUCAAGAAAUUUCAAGUAUGACCAGAGAUAUGUUGCUUCCAAGAAAAUUAUAGGAUCAGCAAAAUCUCCCCUUCCCCACCCCAAUUGAGCUUCCUCAUAUUAUUGUACAGGUAAGUGAAGUUUGAUCACCUUUAUUUCUAUAAAGUAAACACCUAAAAUAUCUAGUUUCAUUUCCUCCAUUCUUACAGUUUCUUUAAUAACUGAACAAAGUUCUGGGUUUUUUUUAGAAUCUCACAGGUAUCAAGGCUUUCACAACUCGGAUGCUAAGCUUAACUAGUUUAUUCUUAUAUAAGAAUCCUAAGAACACAACAUCCAAAGAAAAAUGCUUCAAAUUUCAUUUCCUCCAUUCUUACAGUUUCUUUAAUAACUGAACAAAGUUCUGGGUUUUUUUUAGAAUCUCACAGGUAUCUGGGUGCAUCAUUGAAUAAAGGCUUUCACAACUCGGAUGCUAAGCUUAACUAGUUUAUUCUUAUAUAAGAAUCCUAAGAACACAACAUCCAAAGAAAAAUGCUUCAAAUUUCUCCUCCUCCAUUCUUACAGUUUCUUUAAUAACUGAACAAAGUUCUGGGUUUUUUUUAGAAUCUCACAGGUAUCAAGGCUUUCACAACUCGGAUGCUAAGCUUAACUAGUUUAUUCUUAUAUAAGAAUCCUAAGAACACAACAUCCAAAGAAAAAUGCUUCAAAUUUCAUUUCCUCCAUUCUUACAGUUUCUUUAAUAACUCCCCCCCCCCCCCCCCAAAAAAAAAAAAAAAAAAUUGAAGGAUCCUUCGAAACUUCAUAAACAAACUAUUGCUCAAUACAAUACCUAGCAACCAGAUUUUAUUUAACUACAAUAUUUUUCACAUCCGGGUCUAAAGUUUCUAUUUUUAUCUCAAAAUCACACAAAACAAACAUAAUCAGAAAAUGAAAAGACAUAAUAAGCAAAAAUUCAACCACCCUUUACAAUUAACUUAUUAAUCUAACAAGAAUUAACCAAUAAAAGUCAAAAGUGAUGUUGAAUUUACCAGUCUCUUGUCACGAAUGGUGGAGGCGAGAAUAAGCUUGUGAAAAUAAGGUCGUGGCAUUUUGGGUAACAAUCAAAAGAAAAUAUAAUGAUGAUUUGACGAUUAUGAUUAUGAUUGUUAAGACAUGAGCUUUCAGAUCUGCUGUUUCUCUUGCUCUCUUUCUCUCCUCUUCACUGGUUCUAGUCAAACGGUUGUCUCUCAAAAUAUAACUUGACCUAAAAUGUUAAACCCAGUUCGAGUUACUCGUGACCCACUGAGCUAACCAGGAAUCACUCGGAUCCCCGCCCAUUUUUCGCCUUUUUCUUUUUUUUUGUUACUUUUCGGUCCCAUCCAUUGGGUGCUUUUUUUUUUAUUCAUAAAUGUCCUAAAACUUUUUCUUUUUCUUCUUUAUAUUUUUGUAAAAAUAAUGUUUAUCCUUGUGAUUAUUAUAUUUAAAAAUUUUAAUUGAAUUAAAAAAAGGUUUGGCCAUUCAAAAAUAAUAAUUAACCCAAAAAACAGAUCCAGAACUAAUAUUUUAUGAUUUUAUAUUAUUUUUUAAAUAUAUGAUUAAUUGAGUAAUCUGAGAAAAAAUGAGUGAAAAAAGUUCGGUUUGGUAUACCUUUUCAAAUAGAGCUUAUUUAAGUAGAGUUUUUGUUAAUAGAGUUUUUACAAAUAAAAUUUUUACUAAAAAAUUUUAUUUAUUUAGUUGUCAAUGAGAACUUUUGUUAAAAAUUGUAAAAUUAUUUUAAUAGGCAAGUUAUUUAAAGUCAUGUUAAGAAAUAAUGAAAUACGAUUAUAAAAUAAAUAAAAGAUAUUUUAAUAUUUUAAAAAAAUUUCAAUCUCUACACACAAAAGUUUUAAAUUUGAAUUUUUUUUCUAAUAGAGACAAAAUAAUUUAUCUAACAUUUAAAAAAUUUACUAAAGAAAUAACCAAAUAACAAUAAAAAAUUUAAAAAAAAUUUAUGUGAUUAAAUAAGUACUUAUGAUCAUUACAUAAAUAUACUAAAUAGACGUUAAAAUCAAUAGUUUUCUAAGACAAAACUAUGGUAUCACAGUUAUACCAUACCACAGCUGGAUCCAACUAUUGGAUCCAGCCCAUAGUGGUCGAUUUAAUGGUUGGAUCCAGUUGUGGUAUGGUAUUAUAAUUGGACCCAAUCUUCUAAUAUGAAAAAUCAUAUUAUGUUUAUACUAAUGUACAAUUAAAAAUUUAUCAUGAUGAUCACCUUUGAACAAAUAACAAUGAUGGGUGUAAUUUAAAAUUCAGCAGGAGAAUAGAAAAAAAUUUACUCUCCCAUGCCACUAAGAGGCUUGAGUCUGCUCCAAAUAAAAUUUUGAACAAAAUCUACCCCACAUGCCACUAAGGUAAUUCUUAUAGCUGUCAAAUUAUAAAAAUUCAAAAAUUGUAAUAAAAUAAACAUAUAAAUAAAGCUCAUUGCAGCUUAGUCAAAAAGGCAAAAGAGACACACAUGCGUGACCCAGCCAACAAUUCCAAAACGGGUAUUUUUCACUGCCUGCCCCCAAACUUUGUGCAAUCUAUCGUUUGAUUGAUUUUAUGUCCAAAUUUACACUUACCUCCCUUGGGCUGACCGAGCUUUUGAUUGACUGUUAACAUGGAUGACUAAAUGAAUAGAAAUACAUAUAUGCCCCUGAUUUGAAGCAAAGCAGACGUGCCAAGAAAUGAGAUAGCUAAUGUAUAAAGAAGUUAUUUAUAAUCAACAAAUAAUUUUAAAAGACUAACAAUAUAAAUUAUACCAAAACACAAAUAAAAUAAUGAUUUAGACUAAGAAUUUCACAUAAAUAAAAAAACUAACUUAAUAUUGAUGAUGCAAGUUAAAAAAAAAAACAUGUAAUUUAGAAAUACUUCAUACGCAUAAGUACAUCACUUUAUAUAAUAAAAAAAAAGUAAAUCAAGAAAAUAUAUUCGGAGGAUGAGAAAUGAAGAUAAUUUUAUUUUUAUUUGUUUUACAAAAUUUUAGGUUGUUGAUUUCUGCUUCUAAAGCUACUAAUGUAUUCCUGACUUCAGCAGUCAACCAAAAGCUUGGUUAAGGGAAUGGGAUGUUAGUGUUAAUUUGGACAAAAAUUCUAUCAAACUGUGGUUUGGACAAAAUUUAGGGGCAAAUAGUGAAAAAAACACACUUCUCAAUGUGAGGGAGAGUCUUUAUUCCACUCAUUAAAUGACAAAGAUUAUUGACACGUGUCACAUCAGGGUGCUUCUGGGUGUACCCUCAAUAAUCGUACAAAUAUUGAGAGAGUCAAUAAUUCAGUAUUCAGCUUUAUUGGUUGCCUUUAAUGGGCUUUCCUUUUCAUAAAAUAUUUCUUUUAUUUUCAGAAACAAUUUCAAUUUGGGCAAGUAGAAAGUUGUUGGGCCUCCAUAUUUGCUUAUGCCUAUCAGUGGAUUUGUUGAUAAGAUCGUCGAAAUCAGCUAAAUUUUAUUAGAAGUUGAAAACCAAAAUCAGCUGGAUUUUAUGAAAAGCUAUUAAAACGUUCAAUUUCUUGUGGGAAGUAUUCCAUUCAUAUAGAUGCUUAUUUUAUUGGUUUAUUAAAGGGAGGCUUCAAAUAAAGAGGAGAGAGGUUGAAUGUAAAAUUAAGAUACACACAAUUUGGUGUAAUGACAAAAAUUUUAAUAUUUUUAUUCAAUAAUUUUAUCAUCUGACUUUAGUUUUUAUUCAACUUCAAAUUCAAAGAGUACGAGAGGUUUAAAUUGAAGGGUACGUUUUAAAAUAUGCAAAUGCUCACACUUCAAAAAAUAUUUAUAUCAAAAAGUUUCGUUUUAAUUAUAUAUCUUGCUUCACGUCCCAUCUUUCAUUGUUAAAUCAUUUAUAUGAACGUACAUAGUUAAUAAUUAAUGAAGACAGAUAGGCACCACAUUAUUUAUUAAUCUCACAAAAAGCAGAGGAACCAUAAGAUCCAGAAAACAAUAUUUUAUUAAUGUGACACAUUGACGCCAACUAGCAGAUGACAUUAUUGCAAAUUCCAUUAUUCCAUCACAUAAUAUAUUCACAUAUGGGUAGAAUUCGAAGAUGAAACACACUCCAUAUAUAUGUGUGUGUGAAUUUAUAGUUAAAAUUAAUUACUUGUUGUUAAUAGAGAGUGCUCCAUCCAGCUUAUCGGCUAACUCUUGUACCCUGAAGUGAUAAAUUUGAACGUUCUCAACUUCAAGCUUCUUGAAAUUACUGCCUUUUCGAGUAGUUAAAAAUUUCCCCCAACUGUAUGCUCUGUAUUUAGCAGGAUUCUGCUCGUUUGUAAGCUCAUCCAAUGGCUUCACCAUUGUGUAAUGAGAUGGGAAGAAGAAAAAUGGAAUUGAAAACCUUUCCUUCUCAGAAUUCACCAUAACCCUAUGCUCCACACUCUCAUAAGCAUCAUUGCUCCAUACCUGCACAAUUACAUAGAUUUUAUUGAGGCCAAAAGUGUAUAUACUGAACACGAAAAUUCAAUUUUGACAAACAUAUUAAUAAUUAUUAACCGUUUGAUCAAAAAGCUUAAGCUAGCCAUUACCUGAAUAAUGUCACCAACAUUUAUGAUAUAAGCAUCCGGGGUGGGUUUGACGCGAACCCACUCCCCGUCUGAUUUUCUCUUCACCUCAAGACCUCCAACAUCAUCUUGAGCAAGGACGGUAAGGGCACCGGCGUCCUUGUGUCGGCCGACGCCGAGGGCGAGGUGGGGAGCUGGGCACGGUGGGUAGUGAUUAAGUCUAACAAAGGUGGUUUGAUCUUUGAAGAAGCCAUUGAAACUGUCUGGUGGGAGUCCCAGACUCAGGGCUAUAAGUUCCAUCAACUUGUAAGCAAGUUUUUCCACUUCUUUAGCAUACUCUUCACAUGCCUCUCUGUCAAGCAUAUGCCAAAAGUAAAUAAAUAAAUGAAUACUAUAAUUGCUACAUUAAAUUUUGCAUUAAUCAGAGCAUGCUUGGCUCCAAAAUAUUAUUACGAGCUUUCAAAUUGACCAACAACCAAUUAAAAUUAUUUGAGUGGUACUCAACACUACUCAACUGCUUAUGGUAGUUUAUUUUGCCGACAAAUACCUCUUAUGGACUAUAUAUUGUGACUAUCCUCCACCAUGAGAAAAUUCAGGUCACCAAUUUAGAUUUUCUUAACUUUGAAGCUUAUUAAAUUCGAUAGCACAAAGACACUAAUUAAAAUGCCCAUUAGGUGUUUUAAAAAAAGUACAAACUCUCUUUCGAUUGACUUGCAUAUUAAAGGAUCAGAAUUCUCUUUUAAAUUUAGAAUUCUCUCCAAGUCAUAGUACUCAAGUAUUAAAAUUAAUUUCACCAUCACAAUGUAAGAAAUGAACUUUACCUGAAUUCAGGAGGAUAAUCAGGCCACUGAUUGUACGUCUCAGCUAUUUCCUUGUCCUCAGGAUCAGGUGAAGUUGGCAUCAAACAAGGGCUCUCCACGACAAAAUCAAACACUUCUUUCCAAUCUCUAACAUUUUUGGUAUGCUCGGUGUCAUAAUACCCCACCACCUUCUUCUCAUCUCUCCUCACCUUCCUCUUCUCCUCCAACGGCUGCUCGAAAAACUUCCUCGCCAUAUUUUCUAUGCUCCGGCGCUUAUCCGUGGGCACGCCGUGGUUGAUCACCUGAAAAAACCCCCAGUUCUUGCAUGCAUUGCCUAUUUCCACAACCAGGUCACGAAUGGUACUGUCAGGGUUUUUAAUACUGGUGUUGGUGGCGCUCAAAGCUGAGAGAUCAAUUAAGGGUAUGCCUUCGGCUUCGGUUACGGAGAGUUUAGGCCUGUGCUCAAGGGCUUGAACGAAAGCUUCAUCAACUUCUCCCAUGGCUGGCCAGCUGCAGGUGAUUGAUUCACUACUGAUGAGGUAAAAGUGGUUCUUGAUAUUUAUUUAUGGGGGUGAAGAUAUGGAGAUAACAUAAGAUUGAAUCUAGACUGGAUUUGGGGCAGGUGAGGGAUUGGAGGAUAUAUGUGACGUUUGUGCUUGCAUUGCAUUGCCUGAAUAAUGUGUCCAAGAAAAAAAAAAACGUCAAAAUAUGUAUAAUAUAUGGAAUCUGGAAAACAUUAACAAUUCAAUUUGGAUACGAUACCAUUGACACGUCAGCUCGUUUGCAAUUUAUUUAUGGAAAAUGAUAAACGAGCUCAAAGAAGACAAAAGGACGACAGAAAUGCAGCGUUCAAUUGCCGUUUCACGCGUUGAGUUCUGUUUCUUUUAAUCUUGCGUGGACCCACAAGAAAAAUUAAAAUAAAGAAAAAAGGAAUGGAAAGUUGGUCAUUUCUCCCCCGCCCCAACCACUUAUUUUUCUUUGCUUAGUUUACUCCCCCUCCACUCAUUUUACUCCCCCUCCAUUUGCUUCGUUACCGGACUCUCCCUGGACGACAGCCGCUUCUUGUUCUCGCUGAGCCCCUUCUUUUUUUUUUUUUCUCGCCCAGCCCCAUUUGCUUCGUUACCGGACGACGUCCACUUCUUGUUACCGGAGAUGCAAAUGCAAAGAGGGAACUGAUUUUCCUUCCUAAAUGCAGAUAGCUCACGUUGAGUAAAUGAGAGGUGAGAGAUGGAGAGAGAGGGGACAACAAGAAAAAUUAAUUGUAAAAAAGUCAUCUCUUUCGUUACUUUUGUUUCUUUCUUUUGAUUAUUUUAUUUUUUAAAUCAAAAAAGUAACAGACAAAGAGAGAUGGUGACUGCAGAUGAAGUAACAGACAAAGGGACCCACCCACGUUUCUGUCGUCCCUUUGUCGUCGCAGAAUUCCAAUAGCAGAACUCUUUAUUUAUUUAUUUGCAUUCUUUUUUGUUGCUUGCCCCUCUCUCUCUCUUUCUCUAAUCUAAAAUUUGAAUGCGUCUAAAAUUCUAGGAUCCAAAUAUAUAAAGUUAACUUCUGAAUAUAGUAGAGUUCAUGAAACGCUAAUUUUUACAUUAAAAUAUAGAAUAUUGUCAUUUUACCACCCACUAUUAUAUAUUUAUAUUAUAAUUUAAUUACUUAAUGUCUUCUAACAUAUCACUUUAUCAUCAAAGUUUUUUUAUAAUUAAUUUUUUAUUUUAUGUUUCAAUUUUAUCAUUUUACUACAAAACCGCUAAAAUUAAUAAAAUUUUUGACAAAAUUUAUAAUAAAAGUUUAUUUUAUCCACAAACUAUGUAAAUGUAAUUCAACUCUCUAAAUUAAAAAAAAAUUAAUUAUAUACAAAGAAAUUAUACUUUUAUCAAUUGAUUAUUUUAUACAUUUAAAAUAAUUAGUUGAUAAAGUUAUAAAUACUGAACUUUGUAAAAUUCUUAAAAUAUUGAAUAUAAUGAAAUUCCUAAUAUAUUCUUGUGACACUAGUAAUUUAUUAAUGAAUUUAACAAUUUAGUGGAAAAAUGAUAAAAAUUGAAACAUCAAGUGAGAUGAGUAAUUGUCAAAAACCAAUUAAGUAGUAAGAUGAUAAUAUUCCUAAAAAAAUUAGUUUUAUUCCGUAUAAUGUACAUACACAUGCGUACAUACAUAUAUACAUACAUAUAUACAUACAUACUAUUUGUUGAUGGAGACUGUUAAUUCCUUUAGCUGUUUUGCGAUGGAUUUGAAGGUCUCAACAUUAAAGCUUCUUGAAAUUUCUGAGCUUUCUCAUAUGUAGUGACAAAUUUUGGCCAGCCUACUAGGAUUUUUCCUCAUUUAUUUUAGAGAUUAAAGCUAUUAAAACAAACAAUUUAUUGUGGGAAUUCUUUUAUACAGAUGCUUAAUUAUUUUAUUGGUUUAUUAAAGGGACCUCAAACAGAGAGGAGAUAUUAAAUGUGAAAUUAUGAUGCAUAUUUGACGAAAUGACAAGUGUUUUAAUUUUUAUUCAAUUAUUUUGUCAUCUCACUUUAAUUUUUGUUCAGCUAAAUCAAAGAGUUGAGGGUGUGCCUUUUAAAAGGUGCCCAGAUUCACUUUCAAAAAGUUCCACUACUAUUUUUUCAUAUAUGUUCUUGAAUCUAUUUCUAUAAAAAUAGCAGAAACACUAUUUAAAGCUAAUUUACUCUUAUAAAGUGACCUUUAGACUUCAAUAUUAAAAGAGUAAUCCGUCAUUUUAAUUGAAUAUGAGACUAAUUUUAUUAAUUAUAUAUAUUUUGUUUAGAAUAAUAUUUUUUGAUGUUGCAUUACUUAAUAUACGUAUUUUUUUUUUUAUAUGCACUCACUUUCAUAAAAAUGUAUGCAAUAAAUUUAUAAUUUAACCCCAUGCUAUCAAAGAUCCUGAGUCCAUAAAGUUCCUCUGUUACAUCAAAAUGAUGUAAAUUACUUGCUUCACGUUCAUCUUAAUUUCAUCAUUGAAUCCUUUAUCUGAACAUAUGUAAUUAAUAAGUUAUAAAGACAAGUAUUCACCACAGCGUAUUAGCAAGAAUCAUUGAAUUGGUUUCCCAGAAGCAGAGGAGUCAUCCAAUUCAAAAAUCAAUAUUCAUCCACCAGAACAUUAAUAAUGCAUCCCAAAAAAAAAAGGUCACAAUAUGCAUCAUGUAUGGAGUCUGGAAAACAUUAAUAAUUCAAUUUGGACACGAUACCAUUUACACGUCAGCUUGUUUUUAAUUAAUUUAUUUAUUUACAUUCUUUUUUAUUGCAUGUCCUUUUUUUUCCUCUAGUCUAAAGUUCGAAAGCAUCUAAAUUCUAAACGGAUCCAAAUAUAUAAAAAUUUAACUUGUGAAUAUAGUAGAGUUCAAAUGAAACUCUAAUUUUUAUUUUUUUAAAUAGAAAUAUGGGAUAUUAUCUUUUUACCACCUAUUAUUAUGUUAUCAUUUUAUCCGCUAAUGUUUUUUGUUAUAUCACUUUACCAUCAAAGUUUUCUAAUAUUUAAUUUUUCCCACUUAAUGUUUCAAUUUUAUCAUUUUACUACUAAACCGUUAAAGCUAAUAAAUUUUUUUAUUACAAAAGUUUAUUUUAUCCCUAAACUGUAUAAGUGUAAUUUAACCUUCUAAAUUAAAAAAAUACAAAAUUAAUUAUAUACAAAGAAAUUUUACUUUAAUCAAAUGAUUAUUUUAUACAUUCAAGAUAAUUAAUUGAUAAAAUUAUAAAUGUAUAAUAUAACUUGUAAAAUUCUUAAAGUAUUGAAUAUCUUGAAAUUCCUAAAAUAUUCUUGUACCGUCAGAAAUAUAUUAAUGGAAUGUGAAAAUAUUGAGCCAAAGUCUCUUUUAGCAGUUUAUCUACAAUGCAAAAAGAAGUUGUUGCUUGUGAGAUGAGUGAUUUGGCUUGUUUCCUAGUGUUUUUGGAAGAAAUGAUGCUUUGAUGCUUAGACAAAACAAAAGCUUCUUUUAGCUCGCAUGGAAAUUCUUAUACAAAUGAUCGGCAUUGUAUUAAAUGAUUUAUUCCAUAAAUAUUAUAAUCCUAAAAAGUACAAUGGCCUAAUUAUAUUCUAAGAGUUGCAUAUUAAAAUGAGCAUAAGGAGGGAUCGAGUUUGUGUGAUAUGGCACUAUUCACAUUAGCUUUUUUGUUUUGAGUUUCUUUAAUUAAAAUAAUAAAAAUGAAUAAAAAUACAUAAUACUAAAUAAAAUUAAAAACUUAAAUAUGUCGCGGCUAGUGCUAAUGAACUGUCAGCGACAGUUCAACGGCUACCGACUACCUGUGGCCACCACAUAACAUCGUGUUUUACACAAAAAUUUGGUAAUAUUAGAAUUUUUAUUGUCGAGACCCACUAUGGUGCAAUUAUUAUUAGUAGAAAAGCUUCCAUUCGACGUAAAUUUACAAUAUAAUAAAAAAAAACCGAGACUUUGAAUAUAGAUCUAUGGCAAAUGAAAAUUUCCUUUUAAGUAAUAAUUGCACCAUUGCGAGUCCCAAUAAUAAGAAUUUUAAUGAUACCAAAAUAUAGUUCAAAUAACACUAAAGUAUGGCCCAUAGCAGCCGGCCACAGUUUAUGGUGACUGGCAGUGAAAAUUGUUUAUUUUAAUUAUAUAAAUUUAAAUUAUUAUUCAAUAUAAAUAGUAAUAAAAUAAAAAUGAAUCGUAAAAUUUUAAUUGAACAACAAUAUUAAAUUAAAAUAAAAUUUAUUAUUUUAAGUAAUAUAAUCCGUACUACACUAAGUAUAAUAUUACAUUACAGAUUAAUAUAAUACAAUGUAAUACAAUGCAAAACACACCCCUUACAUUAAAAACAUGUGUAUUAGAAAAAUAAAAUUAAAAAUUAAGAUUAAUAAUUGGGCCUUGAACUGCGAUCCAAUUUUUUAAUACAAGCACGGGCCUGCAAAAUUAGAACCCUAGCUGGCCCUUCGACCAUCUGGUUGAGCCCAAUGUUUUUUUUUUUUUUUUUUUUUAACUCCUUAAUUAAGACCUAGGUAAUUCAGUACAUAACCACUCGGGCAGCAGCCCGAGUGGCCAGGGCUGCUGCCCUCCAACUUAGAGGGCAGCAGUUCGAACCCCCACAAAAGUAUUGUGGGGGUAUUUUCUUCCUCAAUUAAUUUGAGUGAAGGUAGUCUUCUCCCUUACCCAUGAGUGAGGAGUAGACAUCCCUCGAAUAUUUGUGAGGGUUAAAAUCUGGGCAGAGCUCCAGCAUUGAUGUCAGUUGGUCCCAGUAAUAGUCUGAUUUGUAAAUAUCAGUAAUAAUCUCAUGUAUAUGAGUUGUAAUCUGAGCAAUAGUCUCAUGUAAUAAAAAGAAAAAAGGUAAUUCAGUACAUGAAAAAAUUGACAUUAAGUAAAAAUUUAAUUGAUGCGUGACCCGUUGUUUUUUUUGAUAUUAAUCACGAGGUAUCCUGGGGAGGGCCCCAACUGUGGGAGGCACCUUUAAGCCCGUACCACAACCCAGACUAGAAGUCCCCGCUCGAACCGGGAGGCACAGGUUCUCCCAACAAAGGCGACUUCCCUGCGACUCGAACUGGGGAGCAAACACAGUCAAGCCACUUAAGGGGACUCCAUUGCCAGUGGAGCCAACACUUUGUUGGUGCGUGACCCGUUGUUUACUAGUUCAGCAAGUGGUUGAUUUGUCGUAAAUAUCUAUAAAAAUUAUAGGAUGUGUCGUUUUUAUUACCGGAACAUGGAUGAAGACAUAUGAGCACCAGAUAUAUUGUAUUAGCAAGAAUCAUGGGAUUGAUUUCCCAAAACUAGAGGAACUAUCCAACCCAAAAAAACAAUAUUAAUUCAACAACUAGCAGAUGGCAUUAUUGCAAAUUCCAUUAUUUCCAUCGCAUAAUAUAUUCACAGAUAGGUUGAUCAAUUCAAAGAUGAAACACACUACAUAAGUACAUAUGUAAUUUCGCUAACUAAAAAGCAAAUUAAAAUUAAUUACUUCUUGUUAAUAGAGAGUGCUCCAUCCAACUCGUUAGCUAACUCUUGUACCUUGAAAUGAGAAAUUUGAAUGUUCUCAACAUCAAGCUUUUUGAAAUUACUUUGCCUUCUAGUGGCUAAAAAUUUUCCCAAAUUGUAUGCUCUGUAUUUAGCAGGAUUUUGCUCAUUCGUAAGCUCGCCUAAUGGUUUCACCAUUGUGCAAUGUGGUGGGCUGAAGAAAAAUGGAAUUGAAAAUCUUUCCUUCUCAGAAUUCACCGUAACCCUAUGCUCUACACUCUCAUAAACAUCAUUGCUCCAUACCUGCACAAUUACGUAGAUUCUAUUGGCAUUAAAAAAAAAACGAGUAUCGAAUACGAAAUUUUGAUUUUUGACACCAUAUUACUAAUUAUUAACCGUUUGAACAAAAAACUUAAGCUAGCUAUUACGAAUUACCUGAAGAAUGUCACCAACAUUUAUGAUAUAAGCAUCCGAGGUGGGUUUGAUGCGAACCCACUCUCCAUCUGAUUUUCUCUUCACCUCAAGACCGCCAACAUCAUCUUGAGCAAGGAUGGUAAGGGCACCGACGUCCUUGUGUCGACCCACACCUAGAGCUAGGUGAGGAGCUGGGCAUGGCGGAUAGUGAUUAAGUCUAACAGAUCUGGUUGGAUCUUCGAAGAAGCUACUGAACCUGCUUGCUGGGAGUCCCAGGCUUAGGGCUAUAAGUUCCAUCAACUUGUAAGCAAGUUUUUCCACUUCUCUAGCAUAUUCUUCACAUGACUCUCUGUCAAGCAUACCAAAGAUAAAUUCAUAACUAAAGUCCUAUCAUUGAAUCUUUUCUUGCAAAAUUAAACUUUUGCAUUAAUCAAAGUAUAUACGGUGGCUCCAAAAGAUUACAAGUUCUCAUACUGACCAACAACCAAUUAUAACCAUUUGAGUGGUAUUUAACACGUACGAAUCAGCUUCUUAUGGUUGUUUACCUUGUCAAUGAGUACCUCUUAUGGACUAUAUUGUGAGUUCUCUCCAACCAUGUGAAAAUUCACGUCACCAAUUUAGAUUUGCUAAUUACUCUCAAGCUUAUUAAAUUCGAUAACACAAAGAUAGUAAUCAAAAUGUCAAUUAGAUGGCUAAAAAAGGAAAAACUCUUUUAGAUGCUUGUACUAAAGGAUUAGAAUAUUUAUCUCUUGAUUUGAGAUCUCUUGAACCUUUAAGAACUUGUACUAAAAAGAAAAAAUAUAAAUGAAAAACAUAUUGUUCCGAAAAAUAAUGAUAAAGAAACAAAUGAAAACGAUAUAAUUAUUUAUUCAAAUGAAAUAGGUCCACUAUAUUGCAAUGAUCAAAUUAUCGUUAAGUACUCAAACUUCACCAUCACAAUAUAAGAGUUAACUUUACCUUAAUUCAGGAGGAUAAUCAGGCCAUUGAUUGAACGUCUCAGGAACUUCCUUGUCCUCAGGCUCAUGUGAAGCUGCCAUCAAAAUACGCUUAUCUGCAACAAAAUCAAAUACUUCUUUCCAGUCUCUAACAUUUUUGGUAUGCUCGUUGUCAUAGUACCCCACCGCCUUCUUCUCAUCUUUCCUCACCUUCCUUUUCUCCUCCAAUGGCUGCGCGAAGAAUUUUCUCAUAGCAUCUUCUACUUUCUGCCUCUUUUCUAAUGGCGCUCCAUGGUUGAUCACUUGGAAAAAACCCCAUUUCUUGCAUGCAUUACCUAUCUCCACCACAAGGUCAUCAAUGUUUUUGGUGUUGGCGUCAUUAGGAAAGCUCAAAGGUGAGAGAUCGAUCAAGGGUAUGCCUUCAUCUUCAGUGACUGAGAGUUUAGGCCUGUGUUCUAUGGCUUGAACGAAAGCUUCAUCAGCUUCUCCCAUGGCUAUAGCUAAGAAACAAUGUAUUAAAUUCUAAUGUAUAGUUUGAUAUAAAAGAGAGUAAUUGAGGCAGUUUAUUUAUAGUGGGCUAAAGGCUCUUUCAGCCUAGAGGACUUUUGAGCUAAUUAUGUAGUAAGUCUCUAUAUCUUUGAUAAUUACCCAGCAGUUAAUAAAAUUUACAUAAUUUUUUUUUAAUUUUUUAAUCUAUUGCAUGUUAGACUUAUUUUAAUUUUAAAUUAUAUUAAAAAAUAAUAUAAUUUUAUCUUUGAAAAAUUAGUAGCAACCAUUGUAGAAUUACCCAUAAAGCCGCAUUGUGUAAUUUUAAAAAAUACAGAUACUAAAAGUAUAAUUGACCCAAACCCUAAGUGGUAAAGGAAAAUUUACUGUAACCAUGCAAGAUAGGGAGUUAACAACAUAACAUUGAAUCUGGAUGGGAUUUUCGGGCAGGGAAGAGUUGGAAAAUUGUGUGACGUUUGUGCUUGCGUGGUUAAUUUUGUCUGAAGCGUCACAAAAUGGAUCAUAUAAUAAUAGCAGCGAAAGAAUCAAUGAUUCACUUAGUGGACAAGAGACAUACAUAGCCAAAGCACCAAGCAGGGUUUAAGGGACGAUUAUUUCACCGUGAUUAAUUAAUAAUUAAGUAAUUUUCACACCUAGUGAUAGAUUCGGUGUGUUUGAGGACUUUUCGUUGGUAAUCAGUUGAAAUUUAGUGCAGCAAAUAUUCUUGACAGCUGUACGUACUAAUAAUGGUUGAGCACACACUAUGAAAAUAUUGAGUGCUCGCGAAUGCCACUUCAUGUUUUACCUUUUUAAUUAAAGUUCCUGACUAGAGUUCCAUGCUUCUUUAAUUUGCUUAACACAUAGUAUAAUAGUUUCUUGAUCAACCAUCUAAGUGAUUUUGUCUAAGGGUGAAAUGCUUUAAAAUGAAGUGAGGAGGUGCUCAACACUCAGUCAACGAGUGAUUUGUUAGUUUGGUAUUAACUAUUAAGUUGGAAGAUAGAAAAGAAGAGAAAAUAAAUAUUUGUCUAUUGACGUAUGACAUGUCAUUUACAACUUCAUCACAUAGUAAACCUAUGGUAAAUAUUAAUAAGUAGCAUGAUAUGUCGUUUUUGUUUUCAGAACAUGGAUGACAUUGUGUAUGUAUUUUACUUUGAAUUAAAAAAUGUAUGACAUCUAGUUUAUAAAUUAAUCAAAUAUAUGACUUUUUGUUUAUAUUUUGAGCACAUAAAUGACAUUACAUACAUAUUUCACCCCUGAGUAUAAGCGUACGACAUGUCAUUUAUAAUUUAAUUAAAUUAUUAUAAGGCAUUGCGGUGGCUAAUUAAAUAAGUUAUUUUUCUGCUGUGCGGAUAAAAUAAGUUGUUGAGUAAAAAAAAAGUUUAUUGUUUAGUAAACUGUGUUGUUAGAAUUGUUGUAAGCUUAAAAAGUAGUGUAUAUGUGUUUGGUAAUAUUGUUUUAUUAUAUAAUAACUAAAAAUAUAUAAAUUUAAAUUACCUUUUAUUUUUUAGAGUAUGUUUAGUGAUAUUUAGACAUACAUUUUUCUUUUAAAACACGUAAAAUUAUAUAAAGUGAAAAAAUCAAUUAAAUAAAAAUAUAAUGAACUUUAUAAAAUGAUAAAAAAUUUAUACUAGUACAUAAUUCAAAUAAAAUGAAGUAAUAUGCAUUACAUUCACAUUAAACUUUUUACAAUAAACACCUUGGUUAUCGAAAAAAUAUAAAUAUAUUGAACGUUAAAAGUCAUGGUUAUGAAAUUGCAAUUUCAAAAGUUAUCUUUAGCCUUUAUGUGAAAUUGUUCAUAGUUCAAAGAAAAUUUACAUAAUCAUAUGCAAAUCUUAUUGAUUCUUAUAAUAGAAAAAUAAAAGUAUAAUAAAAAAUAUGAAUUUAUAGGAUAAAACUUUGAUACUGAAGAGAACGUAUAGUAGCGGUAAUUUGAUUAUGACAAUAAUAUGAUAUCUAAUAGUUUAUAUAUUAGAGUGCAUAGAAAAAUAAGACAUAAUUAUCUUUUUGUUAAAAUAUUAAAAUUAUAAUAAGAAUUUUAAAAAUGUAUCAUAACUUAUUUAAUGAGCUACUUACCAAAAAAAGGAAAAAAAAAAAAAACUCAGGAACAAAACUCUACCUACUUUUAAAAGUUAUUAUCAAAAUGGAGAAAAUUAUAAAAUAAACAACUUUUAUGAAAUUUAUCAAAUAUAUUUUUUUUGUUAAAAAUUUUGAAAUAAGUAACUUAUUGAAUUUUAACCUCAAUCCCAAAUGAUGCCUAAAUGAAAACUCACUUAAUAUAAAAAAGGAAAAAAUCAAUUUUAAUUAUAAAAUAAAUUGUUUCUAAUGACCACAAUGACGACAACAACAACAAUAAUAACAACAACAACAAUAUCUUUAUGAUAUUUUGAUUUAUUUUUUAUAUUAUUCAUAUCCAAUAAUAACAAUGUCAUAAUUUAAUAAUUUAUUGAUUAAUUAAUAUUAAAUAAAUUAAUAGAUUUUCCACGAAUAAUGUAAUAGUACACAUUUGGUAAUAAAAGGAAUUGGCUACACAGCAUCAGUUUCUCAAGUACCUUUUAAUUUUCUCCAAGACUAUUGAAACUUGGCACGAUUUUGUACCUCAAGAAAUGACUAUUGAGAUAUGAUAAAAGCGAUCGAGAAAUCACUAAUACCCAGAAGUUUAAGCUACUUAGGCAAGAUAGAAAUGACUGCAGUCAUGCAGAUAUAGAAAAGCAAAUGCAGACAUUAAGUAACCGCCAUAUCUGAAAGCUAAGCUUGUUGGGAAGAGCCUAUCAGUUACAAUAUAGAAGUUCUACCAUAUGCCUUGUUCUUAAUCUACAGGCAUGAUGUAAAUGACUGCUAAAACAAAGCAUAGUUCUAACAGUAAUAUUGAAGUUCUAGCAUGUGCCUCAUACAUCAAGGAACUGGAUCGCCAGAAUUCAGCCCGUUUACUAGCUCGUUGAAGGGCUUCAGCAAGGCAUGGUGAGCAGGGGAUGAAGAAAAGUGGAAGCGAGAACCUCCACCACUCUUUAUGCUCUGCACUCUGACAUUUAUCAUUGCUCCAAACUUGCAAAAACACACCCCAUUCACAAGUUUAUUUUAACAUAUUAAAUAUUUAUUUUUACAGAAAACUAGAAAACGGGAUUUAUUGUUUUCAUUUUCAGAUAUUGGUUUCAAAACAAGCUGUAUAUUAAAUUCUUUCUCAAUUCUAAAAAAAUCACAUCAACAAACAAUAUUUUCACUCUUUAAAAGAAAUUUUAAAACCACCAUUGAAGACAAUGCCAAAAAUGCCUUUUUUUAGAGUUUUUAGAUGUUGGUUGAAAUUGACACAAGUGCUUAUCAAAGUUAUAACACACUAGAGGAAAGCCCUCAAACACUGUUUAAUGAAUAAGGAAGAGACUUGUAUGUUUCUUGUGUUAACUGGAUACUGUGUUAUGCUGGGUUUGCACAUCCUUUGUGUUGGACCAAAACCAGCAAGAAACCGAUUUUGAUCCCCUAAGAUCCACUCAAUCAAAUCUUUAACUUAAGAAUGUUUGAUAACCAAAAUGAACUUGAAGAUAAAACUGAUACGAUAAUCUGGAAACACAGAAAUCGAACCAACAAGAUGCUGAAACAAUCACACACACAAACACAAGAGGAUUAUAGUGGUUCAACCACAAUGUGGCCUACAUCUACUGUUAAAAGGAGAACAAGCUUUCACUGAUUUGGCUUAUCAAGAUACAAGUUUUUUUAGAGAAACUGUCACACUCUCGAUCUAGCCACAUAACAACUCACGAGGCUAAAUAUACAACAAAAGAUUGCUUCUAGAAAUAACCCCAGAAGCCAGCACAACGUCACUGGCAGAAAUUUCCCGCGCCUUUUAACAGCUUUACCAGCCGCUUAAAACAGCUACUGGACACGUGUUACAAUCUCGUCAAAAACGCUGCCUCCAUCUGCCGUUUUGAGCAAGUAAUGCACGUGUUACAUCACGUGCCCAACCUAUUCAACUAGCUGACUGAGUAGCCUUGUCAUACAGCGUUCUAAUUCGAGAUAAUCGACAUGUCACCCAUCUCUGGACUAAAAAACCGACACGUCGUACACGACCACAAACCCAGAUUUGUAGUUUAGUUCAACACGUUGGCUUUUCUUUCUUAUUGGGAAGGCAUUGGCAGAUAAGUGAUUCUAAACACACCAGAGAAAAUUAAAAGAAUUGUAAAAGUGAGUGGAAAUGAGUGAAAAACUAACAAUCAAUAUCCAUGAUUUACAGAGAGACUCCGUAGGCUUGAACACUGACUUAAAACUAUGUUUCCCAGCAUGAACUCUUUGAUAAGUAAAAUAAGUGUAAAUUUCACUCAUUUUUCUUUUCUUUUCGACAUAUGAAAAAAGAAAAUAAAUAGAUGAAUAAAAGAGCGUUCUUACGUACAUGUAGUUUAGCAUCUUGAUUCAACUACUUGGAACUCUUAAAGAGGCACAACAACCUUUCGAAAGAAUUGUGUUACCUGCAUUUUCUUUUAUAUGCAGAAAGUUAUAUUUUUUAUGUCAAAAUUAGUCUCCCCCCCCCCCCAAAGGAGAAAGAUCAGUUGAUAAGGCCUUGACAUACCUCUCAAAUAGACGCAUGCAAUAAUUUGAACUCUCCUCUAUAGAGAACAGAUCGACAAAUGGAAUGUGUGCUAUUUUAUGCCAAUUUUCACCAAUUUUCUUCUUGCAUCGCUUUUAUAAUUCAGGAUAACCUCGGAGGUUCAAAAAUAGAUUGAUAAGAUUCUUGGUGCUUGCAGGAAGACAUCGGAAAGUAAUUUUAUUAAUUGAUGGUUUACAUAAAGAAACUGAAGAUUCAAAACAAGACUUCAAUUCUAAGUUAUUGAGUUGAACACCAUCAAAAGCAGAAUUGAUAUAACAACAUGACAACAUAAAUAGUGGUGUAGGAGAAGUAGUAGAGGAAGGAAUACUGUAAGAUAAGAAAGAAGAUGGUGAUGAUGAUGAUGGCGAAGAUUUGAGUAACAGCCUGUAUAAUCCUUUCUCAGCAAGACCUUGUAGAAGUACCUGCCUCUUUAGAGAAUACUUUACAUAGCAGAUGUUACCAACAAAUUCAACAUAUAAGUGAUUAUCAGAUGUAAGUUUAGAAAUGCUCAGCAAGUUCUUUGUAAUGGAAGGAACAAGUAGAAUAUCUUUAAGUGCUAUUUGUGGGUGAUGGUGUUUAGUAUUUGAACUUUUAAAAGUAAGGAAUGCAUCACCAAUGUGUGUUAUAGGCAAACCUUGGCCAUUUCCAAUGAUAAGUUGAUCAGAACCUCUCAAUUCUUCUCUAAUGUUCAUAUUAGCUACGUUAUUAGUCAAGUGAUGUGUUGCUCCACUAUCAAGGUACCACCCUUGAUCAGCUGGUCCUUCAAAAUUUGCAAUAUAAGCAACUCCAAAUAUAGAGAAUGUGUCAAGUAUAUAGUAUGGAUUCAUAUCAGAUGGCUGAUAUGAAGAUUAAUUCAUAGCAUGAGAGUUAGCAAUAUAAGGCCCAAAUUCAGUAAAUGGUUCAAAGUUGGUCAUAUAAGCAGCCUUAGAUCCUCUAACUCUACCAAAAGACCUUACUGGAGCUAUAUAAUUUUUAGUAUACCUAUGCCAACAUGCAUCCGCAGUGUGACUAGAUUUAUGGCAAAUUUGGCAAAUAAGAGCAUUGUCACUAGAUUCAUCAGUAAAUGAGUCAUGAGACAUAUUGAAGACAGAUUUGUUGUGUGAUGAUGCCUUGUGAAUUGGCAUUUGUGGUGAAUAUCCUCUAGCAAGGUUAUAACUACCAUUAUCAUUGGGAAAUCCUUUGGAAUACGCAUGAAAGAACAUUCCUCUUCCACCAUAGUGAUUCAUGUUUCCAACAUUAAAAUGUCCAUGAUAUCUACUACAUCCAUAACCUCUUCUUCUGCCACUAUCCCUUCCUAGUGAAUAGUUUGAAUUAACCAUUCCAUAAUUCGCAUUAAACACAUACUUAGCUAUCUGAUUAUGUUCCAAUCUAGCCUCAUGUGUUAAGAGCAAAGCAUAAGCAUCAUCAUAUGACAUUAUAUCAGCAGUGAUGAUAGAUGCAAGAUCUAAGUAACUAGUCCCAAUCCGUCUAACACUUGCAUCAACAAAUCUCUUUCUGAUAAAGGACUACCAACACAAGUAAGUUUAUCAGCAAGAAUUUUAACUUUCAAACAAUAUUCUUCAACAGUCAUGGAUUCUUUUCUAAGUACACUCAUUUUAUAUCGAAGCUGCAUAACCUUGGCCUCAGAUUGAGUACCAAAAUGUUUUUCAAUAGAUUUCCACACAUCAUAAGAUCUAUCACAAUUAAGUACGGAGCUCAAAAUACCUUCACUUAUAGUUGACAGAAACCAGCCAAGGAGAGUUUGAUCUUUAGCUUGCCAAUUAACAUAAGCUGGAUUAAUAAUUUUCUGCACCGAUCCAUCAUCUGCUGUGUGAUUAAUAGUUUGAUCUUCAUUUUGAGUGUAUCUUGAAUCAUCGUCUCGAACAAAGUCUUGAAUAAGAGAUCUCCAGUAUAAUUCAUUGAAUAUCUCAUUACCAAAAUCUUCAACUUCAAGAGUUCCCUUGGAUGAAAAAAACCAUUAGCCAUCCAAAGAUGAAUUAGACGCUCUUUCUUAAUUUUAGAAUGUUUAGGAAAUACAGCACAAAAAGCAAAACAUUGUUUCAAUUCCGCUGGUAAGUUGGAAUAGCUCAAUCGUAAGACAGGCAAAAUGGAAAUUUUCUCCUGGGGUAAGUUCCAUAGUUUACUGUCUUUUACAUGUAGCCACUCGUUUUAAUCGCUUUUAAAGCGCAUCAGGUUCCUAAAGUCUUUGCAGCUAGCGAGACACCAUUACACUUCCUCACUAUUUCCUUGGCGAUUGCUAAAAUGUCAUGUUUGCUUAUGCCUAAAGAUUAUGAUCAAUGGAUUUGUUGAUAUGAUCAUCAAAAUCAACUGAAUUUUAUUAGAAGUUGAAAACCAAAAUCAGCUGGAUUUUAUGACAAUCUAAUAAAACAUUCAAUUUCUAGUGGGAAUUUAUUAUAUGGAUGUUUAUUUUAUUGGUUUAUCAAAAGGGAGACUUCAAAUAAAGAGAAGAGAGGUUGAAUGUGAAAUUAAGAUGCACGGUUGGUGUAAUGACAAAAAUUUUAAUUUUUUUAUUCAAUAAUUUUAUCACCUGACCUUAAUUUUUAUUCGAAUUAAGGGUGUACAUUUUCAAACAUACAAAGCUUCACACUUAAAAUAUAUUGAUAUCAAAAAAUUUCAUUUUAAUUAUAUAUCUUGCUUCACGUUCUAUCUUUCAUUGUUGAAUCGUUUAUAUGAACAUACAUGGUUAAUAAUUAAUAUUAAUGGAGACAAAUAGGCAGCACAUUUUUUACUGAUUCCACAAAAUAGGCACCACUUUUUUUUUUGAUAUUAGUCACGAGGUAUUUUGGGGAGGGCCCCAACUGUGGGAGGCACCACUUUAUUUAUUGAUUUCACAUUACGGAAAUAAUAUUUAUUAAUGUGAGACACUGACACCAACUAGCAGAUGACAUUAUUGCAAAUUCCAUUAUUCCCAUGACAUAAUAUAUUCACAUAUAGGUAGAAUUCGAAGAUGAAACACAAUAGGUGUGUGAAUUUAUAACUAAAUUAAUUACUUGUUAAUAGAGAGUAGUCCAUCCAGCUUAUUGGCUGACUCUUGCACCUUGAAAUGAUAAAUUUGAAGGUUCUCAACAUCAAGCUUCUUCAAAUUGCUGUGCAAUCUAGAAGUAAAAUAUUUUCCCCAAUUGUAUGCUCUGUAUUUAGCAGGGUUUUGCUCAUUUAUAAGCUCAUCUAAUGGCUUCAUAAUUGUGUAAUGAGAUGGGUUGAAUAAAAUUGGAAUUGAAAGCCUUUCCUUCUCAGAAUUCACCACAACCCUAUGCUCCACAGUCUCAUAAGCAUCAUUGCUCCAUACCUGCACAAUUACAUAGAUUUUAUGGAGACCAAAAAAGCAUAUACAUAGAUUUAAUGAAACCGAUAUUGUAUAUGAAUAUAUUUUAUUGAGACCAAAAAAGCAUAUACUGAACACGAAAAUUUGAUUUUGAUACCAUAUUAAUAAUUAUUAAACGUUUGACCAAAAAGCUUAAACUAGCUAUUACCUGAAUACAAUCACCGAUAUUUAUGAUAUAAGAAUUCGGGAUGGGUUUGACGCGAGCCCAUUCUCCGUCUGAUUUUUUCUUUACCUCAAGACCUCCGACAUCAUCUUGGGCAAGGAUGGUAAGGGCACCGCUGUCCUUGUGUCGACCCAAGCCGAGAGUUAGGUGGGGAGCGGGGCACGGUGGGUAGUGAUUAAGUCUAGCAAAGGUGGUUUGAUCUUUGAAGAAGCCAUUGAACCUGUUUGCUGGUAGUCCCAGGCUCAGGGCUACGAGUUCUAUCAACUUGUAAGCAAGUUUUUCCACUUCUUUAGCAUAUUCUUCAAAUGCCUCUCUGUCAAGCAUAAGCCAAAAGUAAACAAAUAGAUACUAUAAUUGCAACAUUUUCAAUUUUGCAUUAAUCAGAAUAUGCUUGGCUCCAAAAUACUAUUACAAGCUUUCAAAUUGACCGACAACAAAUUAAAAUUAUUUGGUGGUAUUUAAUACGACUCAUCUGCUUAUGGCUGUUUAUUUUGUCAAUAAAUACCUCUUAUGGACUAUAUUGUGAGUUUGUGACUACCCUCCAACCAUGAGAAAAUUCGGGUUACCAAUUUAUAUUUCUCGCUCUCAAGAUUAUUAAUUUCGAUAGCACGAAAUUAAAAUGCCCAUUAGAUGCUUUAAAAAGUAAAAAAUCUCGCUCAAUUGACUUGUACAUUAUUAAAGGAUCAAAAUUCUCUUUUAAUCCGAGUUCUCCUCAAAUUAUAGUUAAGUACGAAAAUUUCACCAUCAAAAUGUAAGAAUUGAACUUUACCUUAAUUCAGGAGGAUAAUCAGGCCAUUGACUGUACGUUUCAGCAACUUCCUUGUCCUCAGGUUCAGGUGAAGCUGGCAUCAAACAAGGGCUCUCCACGACAAAAUCAAACACUUCUUUCCAAUCUCUAACAUUUUUGGUAUGCUCGGUGUCAUAAUACCCCACCAACUUCUUCUCAUCUCUCCUCACCUUUCUCUUCUCCUCCAACGGCUGCUCG
rnacentral:lncRNA from 1 species